ACAAGACAUGCAAGUCGAGCGAACAGAAGGGAGCUUGCUCCCGGAUGUUAGCGGCGGACGGGUGAGUAACACGUGGGUAACCUGCCUGUAAGACUGGGAUAACUCCGGGAAACCGGAGCUAAUACCGGAUAGUUCCUUGAACCGCAUGGUUCAAGGAUGAAAGACGGUUUCGGCUGUCACUUACAGAUGGACCCGCGGCGCAUUAGCUAGUUGGUGGGGUAAUGGCUCACCAAGGCGACGAUGCGUAGCCGACCUGAGAGGGUGAUCGGCCACACUGGGACUGAGACACGGCCCAGACUCCUACGGGAGGCAGCAGUAGGGAAUCUUCCGCAAUGGACGAAAGUCUGACGGAGCAACGCCGCGUGAGUGAUGAAGGUUUUCGGAUCGUAAAGCUCUGUUGUUAGGGAAGAACAAGUGCGAGAGUAACUGCUCGCACCUUGACGGUACCUAACCAGAAAGCCACGGCUAACUACGUGCCAGCAGCCGCGGUAAUACGUAGGUGGCAAGCGUUGUCCGGAAUUAUUGGGCGUAAAGGGCUCGCAGGCGGUUUCUUAAGUCUGAUGUGAAAGCCCCCGGCUCAACCGGGGAGGGUCAUUGGAAACUGGGAAACUUGAGUGCAGAAGAGGAGAGUGGAAUUCCACGUGUAGCGGUGAAAUGCGUAGAGAAUGUGGAGGAACACCAGUGGCGAAGGCGACUCUCUGGUCUGUAACUGACGCUGAGGAGCGAAAGCGUGGGGAGCGAACAGGAUUAGAUACCCUGGUAGUCCACGCCGUAAACGAUGAGUGCUAAUGGU
rnacentral:rRNA from 1 species